AAUAAAGUUCCUCCCGGAAACGUCUUUGCUCCGCCGGAACCAAUGUUUCACACGCACAUUUAUUGCCGAUGGACGCAGUGUUGAGGCACUGAUAAACUUUGCCAAAAACGAGACAGGAGCUUCUCGGCGUAUAAACAUGCGCGGCAAGCUGCAUGCUCGGCCGACUAUUUCGUUGCCAUCUCCACGGUGGAGGCGUCGUUGCCGCCGUUGACGUCGUAGUCGUCCACGGGGCCACUCACCAGCACCCGGAUGCGUUCGGGGAAGUUGUCAAACUUGGGCGACAAGAGGAAGUCGUACACGAGGGCCGCCGCCACGCCGCCACACAUGGGUCCCACCCAGUACACCUGCAGUGGAUUCGCUGGGGCACAAGGAUAGUCAUCAAGGAGUAUCUGUGGGCUGAACUCCACGAUGGAAAGCCGCAGCAGAGAUUUGAACACGCAACUUCCAGGCUGUGCCACAGUUUGGUCGUAUUUCUGAAAAGGUUUGAGAAACAAUGAGCUUGACAACCACACGGACAAGAAACAAAAGUAGCUGUCAAAACCCUCAAACAGUCCAUGUAUUUUGAUUCUGAUUUGCAUAUUAUGUUAGAACACUGUGUUUAAUGUGUCACCUGCAAAAUAUCCUAAAAGCAGUUUUUAAAACAGGGAUUAACAUACAAAAAAAAUCUUAAGUGUAGACACAUCUAGGAGUCUAAUGGAAAAAUACACGUAUACCGAGCGUGUUUACAUAUCUUUUUUGCCAUUUUUUUUGAUAUCAUUUGGAGGGUGAGGGAGAUCGAUCAGCAUGGUAUUGAACAUUGUUGACACUUCGUACGUUAUCAUUAAAACGAGUCAAACUUUCAACAUCGAAAUGCUUCGCAAUAAAGUGAUUCUAACAAAGCUCAGCAAAUUGCACGAUCACGAUCCUCAUUUGAGCACUCAAUGUGUUGAGAAAUUUAGCCUCCAAGCAAAUUCCUACAUGAUAUGCUGUGUUUACAUGGAUAACCUCUCCCUAAUUGAAUCGGAGGGAAAAAGUGAUUGACGCGUUGUCUUUGCGAGGCAUAAAAGAUGAUUAGUAAAUUACUAGCGACCGUCUGUAUGGGGCAAUUAGGAGUUUUGCAUCCAUGCAAUUACAUGCGCGGUGCUUAUCCGCAUACAAAUGCUUGUCUUGGGGAUUUCAAGGGCAAUACAAGCAGCGGACCGGAUACGAAUAAUCCUCCUAAACGUGUGAGUAAACAGUUGAUAAGACGGUGUUGUACACGUCAGCUGAUCCAUGCAGGGCAAAUCGAUGAUAACAUAUUUCAUUACCAUGCCAGGAUGUUAUUAGAAAAUUCUCCACAGGCAAAUGCACCUCAGCUGGCAACGUGACGCGUCGUAUGCCAUGCCUUUGUGUAAAAAAAAAAAAAAGGAUCCGAUCAUUGGAACAUAUGUCGGAACUAACGUGCGUGGCCGUUACGCGGGGCCGCUCACCAAAACGCAGUGCGAUGAAAAGGGGGGAACACAAGGAAGAGUGGAAAGGGUGGUCUGAGAAUAACUUUGUAUUGAUUCAAGCUUUUACCUUGUUUCAGUUAAGCCACGUUUGCCUGUUGAUUUGAUGUUGGAUAGCAUCCAGAAUAUAUGCACAUGACCCCUUUGCCUUUCCAACACUGACACUUUUUGCGUCAGCUAAUCUCCCAAAAGUGAUUUGGAGAAGGAGAUGUUGUUUCACAACUUGACAAACAAAAUAGAUAUUUUUUUUUUUUGGGGCAUUUUUUUUUUAAAUUUGAAAUAGCAAGAAGCAAAAAAUACUUUGUGAACAUUGACGUCGAGAAGCAUGUGUUUUUUUCUGAUGAAAUUGGGCAAAUAAUGGGUGGUAUAGGAAAUGGAUGAUUGUUGGAAAAAUGCAUACAGGAGAGCUUUGAUGGUCUGCCAGGUCUUCACAAAAAGAGUCCUUAUUUUAAAGGUCAAGAACAUCAGUUGGAAAAUAAAGGGAAACCUUGAGCUGCCUUAGAAAAAUAGCAAAAACUCUCAAAUAAUGGACACCCGCCCCAAAAAAAACAAAUGUUUAUCAUUUACUAUAUGAAUAGUUUAAACCCUAAAUAUACUCCACGUUAUGUUCCCAAACACUGUAAAAUCAUUUCACAUUUAUCUUACUUUUAACUAACUAAUUACUCUUUAACUAAUGGCUCAUAGAUUAUUUGAAUUCGAGAAAAAAAAAUACACCCCAACAGCGAGGACGAGGGUGUGUAUGUCACAACCAAUAACCAAUUACUACUUUCCUAUUAGCCAUUUUACUACGUUUUUGACUCAGUGAUACAGACAAUAUAGACUCUCAUUUUGAAAAUACAUACUGUAUACUGUAAACGAUUCCAUGUAUUCAUUUCUGCACUUUCUGUGGCUUGUGUUGAGCAGCUUGUCGUGACUAACUAGCCAACCCAAACCCAGCUUUGCAUUUGCUUUGGUUACGGUUACGCCAACAAGUAGAAAUAUAGUCUUCAGAGAGCCAAACCUAAAUCUGAAACGGAGCGUCGACUUUAAGCGCUAUUUAUUGUUUGAGUAAGGAAUAUUAAUAGGACACACAGGGGCAACAAAACACACCU